UUUAGGACAAAAUUCAAGUUUUGAAGUUGGGAGCCCGUCCAUAUAACAGAGGAAUACAUUUCUGUCUUUAAAUUUUGAAGUUAUAGUUCAGUCUUUAAAUUUCAAGUUUUGAAGUUGGGAGCCCGCUCAUCGGAUAGAGGAAUACAUUUAUGUCUUUAAAUUUUAUGUUUUGAAGUUGGGAGCCCACCCAUAUAAUAGAGGAAUACAUUUCAGUCUUUAAGUUUUAACUUUACAUUUCAGUCUUUAAAUUUUCAAGUUUUGAAGUCAGGAGCCCGACCAUAUAACAGAGGAAUACAUUUCAAUGUAUAAAUUUUAAAUUUUGGAACAUUUCAGUCUUUACAUUUUCAAGUUUUGAAAUUGGGAAACCGCCCAUAUAAUAAAGGAAUACAUUUCAGUCCUUAAAUUUUAAAUUUUGAAACAUUUCAGUCUUUACAUUUUCAUGUUUUGAAGUUGGGAGACCGCCCAUAUAACAGAGGAAUACAUUUCAGCCUUUAAUUAUUAAAUUUUGAAACAUUUAAGUAUUUACAUUUUCAUGUUUUGAAGUUGGGAGCCCACCCAUAUAACAGAGGAAUACAUUCCAGUCUUUAAAUUUUAUGUUUUGAAGUUACAUUUCAGUCUUUAAAUUUUAAAUUUUAAAGUUGGGAACCCGCCCAUAUAAAAGAGGAAUACAUUUCAGUCUUUAAAUUUUAUGUUUUGCAGUUGGGAGCCCGCCCAUAGAACAGAGGAAUACAUUCCAAUCUUUGAAUUUUAAGUUUUGAAGUUAUAUUUCAGCCUUUACAUUUUAAGUUUUGUGUAUGGUCAGUUUUCAAACAGGGGCAGAAAGUUUUCUUUGUUUUCUCUAUUUUUGUGAAGUUAGGAGCCCGCCUGGAGAAUAGAGGAAUAUAGUUUAAGUUUUUAAGUCGGAAGCCCGCCUGGAGAACAGAGGAAUACAGUUCAAGUUUUGGAGCCCGCAUGUAUAGUAGAGGAAUACAUUCAAGUCCAAGUUCAGAAGUCGAGAGACCACCCUUACAACAAGGGAAUUCAUUCCAGUUCAGUAAUUUGAAGAGAAGGAACAACAUCUCAUUUUACAAGUCGAAGUUGCAACAAGGGAUUUCACCAAGAGAACACAAGACAACAAGGCAAUAAGGUAGUACAAGAGCAACUUUGAAAAAUAUAGAUAGGACUUAUUGUAAUUCAUAGUUCAUAUCUUAGUCUAGCUUCUUUUAUUUUGCCAUGGUGUAAUAAGUAAGGUCAGCGAGUAGUAGCAGCAUCAAUCGUAGUGAAAUCACAGCUCCUGGUAGUCCCAGCUACCAGACAAUCCCAAAAUAUACUGACAUGAUUCAUGUUUAGCCCAGGAUAUGUAGGCAACCUUUGAAGCAGGGUGCGGUCAAAACUUUUCAAAAUGUUUCACAACGGAAUAUUUUAUCGGGCAAAAAUCGCUCGUAUUUGCUCACUUAUCUUUGCCUGAAAACUUUUCAUGUUUUCAAGCAAAGAGGGGUAGCCAUGAG
rnacentral:lncRNA from 1 species